GCUGGGUGUGGUGGUGCACACCUGUAAUCCCAGCUACUAAGGAGGCUGAGGCAGGAGAAUCGCUUGCACCCAGGAGGCAGAGGUUGCAGUGAGCCAAGAUUGUGCCACUGCAUUCCAGCCUGGGCAAUAGAAUGAGACUCUGUCUCAA
ensembl:misc_RNA Metazoa_SRP Metazoan signal recognition particle RNA